rnacentral:rRNA from 1 species
CCUACGGGUGGCAGCAGUAGGGAAUAUUGCUCAAUGGGGGAAACCCUGAAGCAGCAACGCCGCGUGGAGGAUGAAGGUUUUCGGAUUGUAAACUCCUUUUGUUAGAGAAGAUAAUGACGGUAUCUAACGAAUAAGCACCGGCUAACUCCGUGCCAGCAGCCGCGGUAAUACGGCGGGUGCAAGCGUUACUCGGAAUCACUGGGCGUAAAGGGCGUGUAGGCGGGGUAGCAAGACAGAUGUGAAAUUCUAUGGGUUAACCAUAGAACUGCAUUUGAAACUGUUAUUCUAGAGUAUGGGAGAGGUAGGUGGAAUUCGUGGUGUAGGGGUAAAAG